ACCCUAACACAUGCAAGUCGAGCGGUAGCACAGAGAGCUUGCUCUCGGGUGACGAGCGGCGGACGGGUGAGUAAUGUCUGGGAAACUGCCUGAUGGAGGGGGAUAACUACUGGAAACGGUAGCUAAUACCGCAUAAUGUCGCAAGACCAAAGUGGGGGACCUUCGGGCCUCAUGCCAUCAGAUGUGCCCAGAUGGGAUUAGCUAGUAGGUGGGGUAACGGCUCACCUAGGCGACGAUCCCUAGCUGGUCUGAGAGGAUGACCAGCCACACUGGAACUGAGACACGGUCCAGACUCCUACGGGAGGCAGCAGUGGGGAAUAUUGCACAAUGGGCGCAAGCCUGAUGCAGCCAUGCCGCGUGUGUGAAGAAGGCCUUCGGGUUGUAAAGCACUUUCAGCGGGGAGGAAGGCGUUGAGGUUAAUAACCUCAUCGAUUGACGUUACCCGCAGAAGAAGCACCGGCUAACUCCGUGCCAGCAGCCGCGG
rnacentral:rRNA from 1 species